rnacentral:lncRNA from 1 species
UAGCAUCAGCACCGCGAUCUCCGCGGGAUGGACUCAGCGCUGAUCGGUGUCACGAAAGGAUGGACAUCUGAUGGGGUCCAGCUGGGCAGCUUGGGAAGGCAUAUGAGAAAACUUCAGCUUUUGCACCCACUGGGUGUGAAAAGACUGCUAAGAUCAGGACUGGAACAGAGGUGAGGAAGAUGAGAAGGUGGCUCGCUGCAUCACGAACAGACCUGCUCCCAAGCCUGCCGGUGAAAUACGCAAGACCAGGCAGCUUCGUACCAGCAGCCUGAGGGAGGAGAUGCUCAGAAACACGUUGCUGAAGGAACUUAAAUCUGGACCUUGAAACGAACGUGUGGUAAAGAGCUCGUUGACAGGCAGAGCUUUAAGAACAGGCUGGUAUACAGUUUUUACAGGAAUGAAACCUCCCAACAAAUAAUGGCAAGGCUAUUAAAAGGAACAUUUCACAAGAGUGAUUCCAAUGGUAACACUCAGCAUAAUGAUUUAAAGGGGCUUUGUGAGUUGAACUGAACCCCUUAUGAUGGAUAAUUCAAGUUAUGAUGUUGUUUUAGUGAGUAACCCCCUACAGUUGUCUCCAGC